rnacentral:rRNA from 1 species
AGCAGUAGCCGCGGUAAUGCGUAGGUGGCAAGCGUUGUUCGGAUUUAUUGGGCGUAAAGGGUGCGUAGGCGGUUUCUUAAGUCUGAUGUGAAAGCCCCCGGCUCAACCGGGGAGGGUCAUUGGAAACUGGGAAACUUGAGUGCAGAAGAGGAGAGUGGAAUUCCACGUGUAGCGGUGAAAUGCGUAGAGAUGUGGAGGAACACCAGUGGCGAAGGCGACUCUCUGGUCUGUAACUGACGCUGAGGAGCGAAGCGUGGGGAGCGAACAGGAUUAGAUACCCCAGUAGUCCCUGUCUCUUAUACA